UACGGAGGGGCUAGCGUUAUUCGGAAUUACUGGGCGUAAAGCGCACGUAGGCGGCUUUGUAAGUAAGAGGUGAAAGCCCGGAGCUCAACUCCGGAACUGCCUUUUAGACUGCAUCGCUUGAAUCCAGGAGAGGUGAGUGGAAUUCCGAGUGUAGAGGUGAAAUUCGUAGAUAUUCGGAAGAACACCAGUGGCGGAGGCGGCUCACUGGACUGGUAUUGACGCUGAGGUGCGAAAGCGUGGGGAGCAAACAGG
rnacentral:rRNA from 1 species